UUUUGUUUGUUUGUUUUUUAAUGUAUCAGUAUAUAUAUAUAUAGUUAAAUAGUUAUAUAACAGUUAUAGUUGAAUAUAUAUAUAUAUAUGUAUAUAUAUAUUCAUGGAUGAUAUCUGAAUGGCAAGAAGCUGUUUCAGUGGAGGAAUGGGACUGAGACUCAGAAGAUGUGUCCUUCUCCUCCUGUCCUCCUUAAGUCACAUUUAACUUCUGAGUGAGUCAGUUUCCCAAUGCAAUAGCAAAUUACUGCUAUUUCAGAAUAAUUCAUUAAUAGCAUUAAUGUUAUUUCCUGUCUUUACCUCUAUUGUUCCAUUGGGUACAGAUUCUGCCUACACAAUAACUGGCGGGACAAACCCUGCUGAAACACUCUUUAUGUGUUUCUAAGUAUCCUAUUAGUAAAACCUCAUUUGCCUAAACUAUUCUGCCACACAUGUGGAUAUGGCACAUGUUCUGGCAAUGAAACACCUUAGAAAGACAGUGAUUCUCCAGCUGUCGCACAUAACUUGUCUGCCUCUGUUCAACUCAACCUCUCUUCCAGUAACAAGUAGAUAGACAACCCCUCCUGUUUAUAAUGAAUACAGGCUACUGGCACAGAGUGGCUAUAUUUAUAGUUUUUACCCUACAAUGAACAUAAUGAACAACCAUUUCUCCAUACAGUUGCGACUUCCUGCAGUGCUGUGUGCUUUCCACUCCACAUGAGGAUGGGGAAAACUUUGCUUCUUGGAGUCCUUCAACACCUUUCAGGUUUUGCCACGCUCUCUAUUGCUUGGAAGUGUCUAAAUCCCCCAAGGAAAUUGCUGCCGACAGCUCAACAAGAUACUCCAAACCAGCCUGCCACCUGGGUGCCAUAUCACGGACUGGGUUCUCUCACCAUGCCAAACCCCAAAGGAAAUGCAGACGGCAUGUGGAGAUUAUGGUUGUCCACUUCAUCCUGCUUCCAUCACUGAGUGGCCAGAUAUCCUUCCUGUGAUGCUAGAGAGUGGUUGAGGCAUUUCUUUCUGCCUGACUUGAGUUCAGGCCUCAAAUCUCAAAGGUGUGAUGGUACUCCCUCAGCCUGCUCCCUUCCUCUUCAAGAACUUUGUGCCAUUGAGCCCCUCAAAAAGAAACUGGCCCUAGUCCUAGGGCCAGGCUGUGCCCAACACAACCUGCACCUCUCCCACAACUUCCCACUGCCACAGCAGGAAAAACUCAAGCCUUAAACAGAGAGCCAUUUUGACACACAUUUUGACUCUGAGCAUAACAGAAAACAGACACUGACAUCCACAGCCCCUCAGGAAACACAGACCUUGGCCUUAUCUUGUACCUACCUCUCCAUGCAUCCUUUUGCUUGACUGCUCUCACACAAACAUCCUGAGUCUAAAAUGCAUCAUCUCCAUUGGCAGCCAAGAGUCAAGUUUACUUGCUAUUAGGUCCCUGGAAGCAGCUGCUGAUAAAAUAAAGAGACCUUGACACCAUGCCA
rnacentral:lncRNA from 1 species